AAUCACAUUACAAACACAACAGCACGACACAUCGUGUCUCACAUUGUUUUUAUAUAAAAAUUAAUUUAAAAAAUCGAAAAAAAAAACAAAAAAUUACUUCGCAAGUUUCAUCUUUCAUGAUAUAAAAUGCCUGUUUACUACGGAGGUUUUGUAGGCGGUCCGCAAGGGGGCGGCUACUGCCUGUACGCCACAACAUGCAACCCUAGCAUGCCGGGUUGCGGCCCCUGCUGCCAGAGCUCCUGUUAAACUGAGAUAACGUCAAGAUGAAAGUAAGCUGCAGGAGUGAUGGCACGGCGGCGCUGACAGACCUUCGUAACUCAUUCUGUUCCAAUUCUGAUAUUUUGUACAAUGAAUAAACCAAUCUACCUAUAAAA